GAAACCCUAAUGUAUUCGUUACAGUGCCAUAUAUUUUUGAACCGAACAAUUAUGAUUACCUUGGGAGCUUGGCGUUCAGACGCAGCGCAAAUGCCUUAACACGAGGACUUGCAACCCGCCUGACAGAGCACCCACCUGUUUUUAAGCAGGUUCAAAGGGAGGGACUCCAAACGGUACGAUUGGGGUUUCU
rnacentral:other from 2 species